UGGGGAAUCUUCCGCAAUGGACGAAAGUCUGACGGAGCAACGCCGCGUGAGUGAAGAAGGUUUUCGGAUCGUAAAACUCUGUCUUUUGGGGCGAACGUGAGUAUGGUGAACAAUCAUAGUCAGUGACGGUACCAAAGGAGGAAGCCACGGCUAACUACGUGCCAGCAGCCGCGGUAAUACGUAGGUGGCAAGCGUUGUCCGGAAUUAUUGGGCGUAAAGAGCGCGUAGGCGGGAUAGUCAGUCUGUUGUAAAGUGCGGGGCUCAACCCCGUGAUCGCAAUGGAAACAGCUAUUCUUGAGUGCAGGAGAGGAAAGUAGAAUUCCCAGUGUAGCGGUGAAAUGCGUAGAUAUUGGGAGGAACACCAGUGGCGAAGGCGACUUUCUGGACUGUGUCUGACGCUGAGGCGCGAAAGCCAGGGGAGCGAACGGGAUUAGAUACCCCGGUAGUCCUGGCCGUAAACGAUGGGUACUAGGUGUGGGAGGUAUCGACCCCUU
rnacentral:rRNA from 1 species